UGAAGGCACAGUGUCUAGUACAUA
rnacentral:piRNA from 1 species